rnacentral:rRNA from 1 species
CCAAGAGACUGGGAUAACACCUGGAAACAGAUGCUAAUACCGGAUAACAACACUAGACGCAUGUCUAGAGUUUGAAAGAUGGUUCUGCUAUCACUCUUGGAUGGACCUGCGGUGCAUUAGCUAGUUGGUAAGGUAACGGCUUACCAAGGCAAUGAUGCAUAGCCGAGUUGAGAGACUGAUCGGCCACAUUGGGACUGAGACACGGCCCAAACUCCUACGGGAGGCAGCAGUAGGGAAUCUUCCACAAUGGACGAAAGUCUGAUGGAGCAACGCCGCGUGAGUGAAGAAGGGUUUCGGCUCGUAAAGCUCUGUUGGUAGUGAAGAAAGAUAGAGGUAGUAACUGGCCUUUAUUUGACGGUAAUUACUUAGAAAGUCACGGCUAACUACGUGCCAGCAGCCGCGGUAAUACGUAGGUGGCAAGCGUUGUCCGGAUUUAUUGGGCGUAAAGCGAGUGCAGGCGGUUCAAUAAGUCUGAUGUGAAAGCCUUCGGCUCAACCGGAGAAUUGCAUCAGAAACUGUUGAACUUGAGUGCAGAAGAGGAGAGUGGAACUCCAUGUGUAGCGGUGGAAUGCGUAGAUAUAUGGAAGAACACCAGUGGCGAAGGCGGCUCUCUGGUCUGCAACUGACGCUGAGGCUCGAAAGUAUGGGUAGCGAACAGGAUUAGAUACCCUGGUAGUCCAUGCCGUAAACGAUGAGUGUUAAGGUGUUGGGAGGUUUUCCGCCUCUCCAAGUGUUACAGCUAACGCAUUAAAGCACUCCGCCUGGGGGAAGUACGACGCAAGGGUUGAAACUCAAAGGAAAUGGUCGGGGGGCCCGCACAAGCGGUGGAGCAUGUGGUUUAAUCCGAAGCAACGGGAAGAACCUUACCAAGUCUUGACAUCCUCCUGAAUAAAGGGUAACGCCUUUAGGCCUUCGGGACAGGAGAGACAGGUGGUGCAUGGUUGUCGUCAGCUCGUGUCGUGAGAUGUUGGGUUAAGUCCCGCAACGAGCGCAACCCCUGCCCCCAGUAGCCAGCGCGCAGAGGCGGGCACUCUGGGGGGACUGCCGGGGACAACCCGGAGGAAGGCGGGGACGAUGUCAAAUCAUCAUGCCCCUUAUGGCUUGGGCUACACACGUGCUACAAUGGCGUAAACAGAGGGAAGCGAGAUGGCGACAUGGAGCGAAUCCCAAAAACAGCGCCCCAGUUCGGAUUGCAGGCUGCAACCCGCCUGCAUGAAGCCGGAAUCGCUAGUAAUCGCGGAUCAGAAUGCCGCGGUGAAUACGUUCCCGGGUCUUGCACACACCGCCCGUCA